UUUAUGCAGAUGGUGAGACACAAGUUUUAUGGGUAAUUGUGAUGUCACACCCUUUUCACCUUGGAGAUCUGAUGCAUGCU
rnacentral:snoRNA from 1 species